rnacentral:rRNA from 1 species
GAUGAACGCUGGCGGCGUGCUAAUACAUGCAAGUCGAACGCUUUGUGGUUCAACUGAUUUGAAGAGCUUGCUCAGAUAUGACGAUGGACAUUGCAAAGAGUGGCGAACGGGUGAGUAACACGUGGGAAACCUACCUCUUAGCAGGGGAUAACAUUUGGAAACAGAUGCUAAUACCGUAUAACAAUGACAACCGCAUGGUUGUUAUUUAAAAGAUGGUUCUGCUAUCACUAAGAGAUGGUCCCGCGGUGCAUUAGCUAGUUGGUAAGGUAAUGGCUUACCAAGGCGAUGAUGCAUAGCCGAGUUGAGAGACUGAUCGGCCACAAUGGGACUGAGACACGGCCCAUACUCCUACGGGAGGCAGCAGUAGGGAAUCUUCCACAAUGGGCGAAAGCCUGAUGGAGCAACGCCGCGUGUGUGAUGAAGGGUUUCGGCUCGUAAAACACUGUUGUAAGAGAAGAAUGACAUUGAGAGUAACUGUUCAAUGUGUGACGGUAUCUUACCAGAAAGGAACGGCUAAAUACGUGCCAGCAGCCGCGGUAAUACGUAUGUUCCAAGCGUUAUCCGGAUUUAUUGGGCGUAAAGCGAGCGCAGACGGUUAUUUAAGUCUGAAGUGAAAGCCCUCAGCUCAACUGAGGAAUUGCUUUGGAAACUGGAUGACUUGAGUGCAGUAGAGGAAAGUGGAACUCCAUGUGUAGCGGUGAAAUGCGUAGAUAUAUGGAAGAACACCAGUGGCGAAGGCGGCUUUCUGGACUGUAACUGACGUUGAGGCUCGAAAGUGUGGGUAGCAAACAGGAUUAGAUACCCUGGUAGUCCACACCGUAAACGAUGAGUGCUAGGUGUUUGAGGGUUUCCGCCCUUAAGUGCCGCAGCUAACGCA